rnacentral:sRNA from 1 species
UUCCACCCUCACGCGCUCUUCCACCCCUGCCUCGGGGCCAGAAAGAAUCCCGGAUGGAAGACGGCCGUUGCCAACAACGCCAUAAUCAUGGGGAUGCCGUCCAGCGUGUCUUGAUACGCCUCUGCCGGACCCGUCAGCCUGGAUAAAUCGUUCCUACCGAAUUGCCCACCGUGGGUGAUAAGAUAUCCGUCCCAUCCUUGGAUCAGCUCCACAGAUCGAUAAAUGCCUUGUCGAGAAAUCCCGUCAGCCCUACUAAUCUCAUAUAUGAAACAUGAAAGGACUCCACCUCGCACUAUAAUCAUGAUGCUGCAAAUCCCCGUUCCCACCAUCACCCACCGCCACCGCCUCACCUCCUUUUCGCCCCUCGUCACCCUCGCCACCGCAUAACCGCCGUACAUCCCUUCCUUCCCCGUCGCCUGCUCGGGCGUACUUGGAAGCAUCUCUACCUCGUCUCCUUCCCUUCCUCUGUAGGCCCUUCUACUCAACGCUCGUUGCAUGAAAUCGACUCCAAGACCAGCAAAGGCAAUCAUACUGACUAGUUGGAAGAUGAUACCUCCAACCAUGAUAUUAGUCGGCAUUUUAGGGGUUGGCGGGUCCACGGAAGCUGCCCAUCCUCCGCCAACAGCUUGGAGGAUAAGAGAAAUGAAGUCGCAGGUGACGAAUAUAAUAAUAUACCAUUUCGGGCGGAGGAAAGAGUACUGCUGACCUAGGGUAUUGAUACUCAUUCCUAAAAUGGUGUAGCACCAGGCUACGCUCCAGACUUACUUUAACUAAUCAUAUUUAUCAGAACAGGGGAAGAAGAUCUUACCGCUGAAGAAAACUGGAGCGAUGAUCAGACUAGAAAACGCGUCAGUUUGCAAAUCAGCCAGCGGGCCACAUAUCAAAACCUACGUGAUGAUCUGCAUCAAGAACGGCGGGUUAUACAUCACAUUCUGAUUCGACCAGUAUCUCCCUACCCAUCCUAUAAUUUCCACUACAUCAACGAUAAGAAGGAAAAAAAAAAAAACACAGUCGCUCAGCUUCUAUUCUUUCCCCUUCUUCAUUGGCACGGAAGAUGGAGUUGAACCUCAACAAACUUACAAAGACAUCCGAAAAUGAGCGUCGGGAAUGCAAUCCAGUACUUGAACUUGACUCCUAAUACCGUAUGCAAACAUCCUAGCGCCACGAAGAGGAUGAUAAAAGUAACACAAACCCAACCGGUGGGGGUAUAACCAUAUGGCGAGAAGUUGAGAUAAUCGCCUCCGGACAUGAUUUCUUAAGGGGGGAGUUGGGGUUCUUGUCGGUGAUGAGGUUGUUACUGCUACAAGCUAUGAAAUCACAGUCAAUGGAUAAUGGAGAAAAACCGACUGGUUCUAUCGUAGAGAACGAAUGUGUGAAGGUGAACUUUCGGGGAAGAGUUGUUGUAAGAGCGAGUGGAAGAAGUGACGUGCAAGAAGGAGAGUGUUUUUUUUUUGCACGAGACCGUCUGAGAAUGC